rnacentral:rRNA from 1 species
GACAGAGGUGCCAAGCGUUAGGCGGAAUCACUGGGCUUAAAGCGCGUGUAGGUGGCGGCCUAAGUACCUUGUGAAAUCCUGCGGCUCAACCGCAGAACUGCUUGGUAUACUGGGUCGCUUGAGCCAUCCAGGGGCAACUGGAACAAGCGGUGGAGACGGUGAAAUGCGUAGAUAUCGCUUGGAACGCCAAAGGUGAAAACAGGUUGCUGGGGAUGCGCUGACACUGAGACGCGAAAGCCAGGGGAGCGAACGGG